rnacentral:rRNA from 1 species
UACGUAGGGUGCAAGCGUUGUCCGGAAUUAUUGGGCGUAAAGAGCUCGUAGGCGGUUAGUCGCGUCUGCUGUGAAAACUCGGGGCUUAACUCCGGCCUGCAGUGGGUACGGGCUGACUAGAGUGCGGUAGGGGAGACUGGAAUUCCUGGUGUAGCGGUGAAAUGCGCAGAUAUCAGGAGGAACAUCAGUGGCGAAAGCGACUUCCUGGACCAAUACUGACGCUCAUGUGCGAAAGCGUGGGGAGCAAACAGG